rnacentral:rRNA from 1 species
UGAGGAAUAUUGGUCAAUGGACGCAAGUCUGAACCAGCCAUGCCGCGUGCAGGAAGAAUGCCCUAUGGGUUGUAAACUGCUUUUAUUUGGGAAUAAACCCCCCUACGUGUAGGGGGCUGAAGGUACCAAACGAAUAAGCACCGGCUAACUCCGUGCCAGCAGCCGCGGUAAUACGGAGGGUGCAAGCGUUAUCCGGAAUCAUUGGGUUUAAAGGGUCCGCAGGCGGACAAGCAAGUCAGUGGUGAAAUCCCAUCGCUUAACGAUGGAACUGCCAUUGAAACUGUUUGUCUUGAAUUCGGUCGAAGUGGGCGGAAUGUGUCAUGUAGCGGUGAAAUGCAUAGAUAUGACACAGAACACCGAUAGCGAAGGCAGCUCACUAGGUCUGAAUUGACGCUCAGGGACGAAAGCGUGGGGAGCGAACAGG